UUCGUAGGGGGCUUGUCAAGUCAGGCGUGAAAUGCCGGGGCUCAACUCCGGAACUGCGUUUGAUACUGGCGAGCUAGGGUUCGCGAGGGGCAGACGGAACACUCGGUGUAGCGGUGGAAUGCGUAGAUAUCGAGUGGAACACCUAUGGCGAAAGCUGUCUGCUGGCGCGACACCGACCCUGAGGAACGAAAGCGUGGGUAGCGAACAGGAUUAGAUACCCUGGUAGUCC
rnacentral:rRNA from 1 species